AAGACAUUAGUAAACUCGCAAAUUACACCACCUUGUCGAGGUGGAAUAGUAGGUUAAACCCCUGCAUGUCUUA
rnacentral:tRNA from 2 species